rnacentral:tRNA from 1 species
GCCUGGGUGGCUCAGUCGGGUGAGUGUCCGACUUCGACUCAGGUCAUGAUCGCACAUUCAUGGGUUCGAGCCCCACAUCAGGCU